rnacentral:misc_RNA from 1 species
GAAAUAUAUAUGUUUUACCAAAAGAAACAUAACCAUGAAAAACAUUUAAACCAUGCUGCUUCCAAAAUUAGAGAGAACAUGAAUUAAAGCAAUAUAAAAUUUAAGCUUUGUCGCAAAAUAAAUGAAUGUGACACACAAAAUUGGUGUGCAAGAAUAACUGAAAAGUAAUUGAAUUAAAAUGCACGAAGAAAUGAAACUCAGUUUAGAGAUUAUGAAAAUUAGAUAACCAAGACAUAAGAAAUUAGAGUUCAUGAAAUUCUGCCUUAAGAAAUAUAUAUG